AUUGAACGCUGGCGGCAUGCUUUACUACAUGCAAGUCGAACGGUAACAGGUCUUCGGAUGCUGACGAGUGGCGAACGGGUGAGUAACACAUCGGAACGUGCCUAGUAGUGGGGGAGUAACUACUCGAAAGAGUAGCUAAUACCGCAUGAGAUCUAAGGAUGAAAGCAGGGGACCUUCGGGCCUUGCGCUACUAGAGCGGCUGAUGGCAGAUUAGGUAGUUGGUGGGAUAAAAGCUUACCAAGCCGACGAUCUGUAGCUGGUCUGAGAGGACGACCAGCCACACUGGAACUGAGACACGGUCCAGACUCCUACGGGAGGCAGCAGUGGGGAAUUUUGGACAAUGGGCGAAAGCCUGAUCCAGCAAUGCCGCGUGUAGGAUGAAGGCCCUCGGGUUGUAAACUACUUUUGUACGGAACGAAAAGACUCUUUCUAAUAAAGAGGGUCCAUGACGGUACCGUAAGAAUAAGCACCGGCUAACUACGUGCCAGCAGCCGCGGU
rnacentral:rRNA from 1 species